CUCAACCUUGGAAUUGCAUUCCAAACUGAAAGACUGGAGUACGAUAGAGGGAGGUAGAAUUCAGAGUGUAGCGGUGAAAUGCGUAGAUAUUCUGAGGAAUACCAGUGGCGAAGGCGGCCUCCUGGAUUGAUACUGACACUGAGGCGCGAAAGCGUGGGGAGCAAACAGGAUUGGAUACCCUGGUAGUCCACGCCGUAAACGAUGUCUACUAGCCGUUGGGAGGCUUGACCUCUUAGUGGCGAAGCUAACGCGAUAAGUAGACCGCCUGGGGAGUACGGUCGCAAGAUUAAAACUCAAAUGAAUUGACGGGGGCCCGCACAAGCGGUGGAGCAUGUGGUUUAAUUCGAUGCAACGCGAAAAACCUUACCAGGCCUUGACAUCCAGAGAACUUUCCAGAGAUGGAUUGGUGCCUUCGGGAACUC
rnacentral:rRNA from 1 species